UCAAGGANUAGUUUAAGUAGAAUUUCAGCUUUGGGUGCUGAUGGUGGAACUUGGAGUUUCUUCCUUGAG
rnacentral:tRNA from 1 species